UACAGAGGUCCCAAGCGUUGUUCGGAUUCAUUGGGCGUAAAGGGUGCGUAGGCGGCGUGGUAAGUCGGGUGUGAAAUCUCGGAGCUUAACUCCGAAACUGCAUUCGAUACUGCGGUGCUUGAGGACUGGAGAGGAGACUGGAAUUCAUGGUGUAGCAGUGAAAUGCGCAGAUAUCAGGAGGAACACCGGUGGCGAAGGCGAGUCUCUGGACAUUUCCUGACGCUGAGGCACGAAAGCGUGGGGAGCAAACAGG
rnacentral:rRNA from 1 species